rnacentral:rRNA from 2 species
AGACCCGAAACCCGGUGAUCUAGCCAUGGGCAGGUUGAAGGUUGGGUAACACUAACUGGAGGACCGAACCGACUAAUGUUGAAAAAUUAGCGGAUGACCUGUGGCUGGGGGUGAAAGGCCAAUCAAACCGGGAGAUAGCUGGUUCUCCCCGAAAGCUAUUUAGGUAGCGCCUCGUGAAUUCAUCUCCGGGGGUAGAGCACUGUUUCGGCUAGGGGGCCAUCCCGGCUUACCAACCCGAUGCAAACUGCGAAUACCGGAGAAUGUUAUCACGGGAGACACACGGCGGGUGCUAACGUCCGUCGUGAAGAGGGAAACAACCCAGACCGCCAGCUAAGGUCCCAAAGUCAUGGUUAAGUGGGAAACGAUGUGGGAAGGCCCAGACAGCCAGGAUGUUGGCUUAGAAGCAGCCAUCAUUUAAAGAAAGCGUAAUAGCUCACUGGUCGAGUCGGCCUGCGCGGAAGAUGUAACGGGGCUAAACCAUGCACCGAAGCUGCGGCAGCGAACGUAUCACUUAAAGCGAUUCAGCGGGUUACGAUUGACGGAGCGAAGCGACGUCAAAGCGUAUACAAAGUCGAGUCGGUUUAAGGAUACGUUCGUUGGGUAGGGGAGCGUUCUGUAAGCCUGUGAAGGUGUGUCGUGAGGCAUGCUGGAGGUAUCAGAAGUGCGAAUGCUGACAUAAGUAACGAUAAAGCGGGUGAAAAGCCCGCUCGCCGGAAGA